UUGAAAGGGAAACGAUUGAAGUCAGUCGUACCAGCGGGAAAUCAACCUUUCGAGUGGGGGGUUUUGGAGUUUUGAAGAGUGUCAAAACCUUUGAGAUUUCAAAAUAUUCGCUCUUUUGGUGUACUUUCUCGUGGGUAGGUUAACAUCGAUUUUGAUCAUCAUAAAAAGAUUGGAGGAAUGUAGCUUCGAUCUCGUAUUGAAGUGUUAUAGCCUUUGGUAGAUGUGAUGUUUGAGACCGAGGAUUGCAACGGAUACCCUUCAGGGCUAUUCGUCUGAUCUCUGAUACGUUGCCUUGAUGUUGAAAGCUCGCUUAUGGUAUUNNNGUAUUACGGUCAAAAGGUUAGAACGAAUUACAUUCGUUAAGGAUGUUGACGUA
rnacentral:rRNA from 1 species